CUUUGAUUGUUGCGUUCA
rnacentral:snRNA from 1 species